rnacentral:ncRNA from 1 species
GAACGCCGUAUGACGCCGAAAGGGUCAUGUACGGUGUGGAGCAGGGGAAAAGAUGUAGAUAACAUCAAAGUCUUACCUAUUGCUAU